GACAAUGGUAGGUGUCGGUCGAC
rnacentral:siRNA from 1 species